rnacentral:rRNA from 1 species
GGAUGCGAUCAUACCAGCACUAAUGCACCGGAUCCCAUCAGAACUCCGAAGUUAAGCGUGCUUGGGCGAGAGUAGUACUAGGAUGGGUGACCCUGGGAAGUCCUCGUGUUGCAUCCC